AUACAGCCAGAGUGCUGAAGAGGGAACAAGCAAGGUUCCCAACACUGAAGCUCUGGCAAAGAAGAAGAGGAAGGGGGCACUGAACCGGCCCAAGAGAACAACUCAAGGACAGAAGAAAGCCGCUGAGCCAGAAACUUCUCGAGGAAAGAGAAAGAGAGCUGAGGAGGGAUGCAGCCAGAGUGAGGGAACAAGCAAGGUUCCCAACACUGAAGCUGGGAAGAAGAGCAAAGAGGCAGUUAACCAACCCGAGACAUCGACGAAGAGACAGAACAAAGCCACCGAGCCAGGUCAGUCCAUUCACCACCAUAUUAUAAAAUUAAGCACUGUCACUAAGGAAAUAUGAUUGGUUAAAAAGAGCUAACAUGCAGCCAAAAGUGUUGGUAGUAGUAGUGUGCAGAACAUUAAAUAUUCAAUAAUCAUCCUGUGCUUAGAAGCUCCUCGAGGAAAGAGAAAGAGAGCUGAGAAGGGAUGCAGCCAGAGUGCCGAAGAGGGAACAAGCAAGGUUCCCCACACUGAAGGUCUGAAAGGGAAGAAGAGUAAGGGGGCAGAGAACCAGCCCAAGAGAACGUCUCAGGGACAGAAGAACGCCAACAAGUCAGGUAAGUCCUCUCACCCCCAAACUGUAAAAUUAAACACUGUCACUGAGGAAAUGUAAUUGGUCAAAAAGAGCUAACAUGCAGCCAAAAGUGUUGGUGGUGGAGAAGAAGAGGAAAGUGAUGGACACUGGCAUUAAAACAAAAAAGAUAAAAGAAAACUGCUAAACAGAGAAAAUGAAAGAAAUUCGGAGGAUCACCUUUAUUAAAAAAUAAUCUACAAUUAGAAUGUAACAAAGUAUUCUACAGUAAGUAUCAUAGAUGCUUUGUUGUCCUACAACUGAAUAAUUCUGAUCUGGUCACUCUAGUGGUGGGUCCAUUGGCAGGUCCAGUUGUGGAUCAAGUUGUGGGUAAAGUGACAGGUCCAGAACAUUAAAUAUUGAAUAAUCAUUCUGUACUUAGAAGCUACACAAAGAAAGAGGAAAAGAGCUGAUGAGGGAUACGGCCAGAGUGCCGAAGAGGGAACAAGCAAGGUUCCCAACACUGAAGCUCCGGCAGGGAAGAAGAGGAAGAGGGUAGAGAACCAGCCCGAGACAUCGACAAAGAGACAGAACAAAGCCACCGAGCCAGACACCUUUGAAUCCCGCUAUGUGGUUGAAGACAAACUGGGUGAAGGAGGCUUUGGAUCUGUCUUCAAAGGAAAACGUGUUUCUG